GACGAACGCUGGCGGCGUGCUUAACACAUGCAAGUCGAACGGAAAGGCCCUGCUUUUGUGGGGUGCUCGAGUGGCGAACGGGUGAGUAACACGUGAGUAACCUGCCCUUGACUUUGGGAUAACUUCAGGAAACUGGGGCUAAUACCGGAUAGGAGCUCCUGCUGCAUGGUGGGGGUUGGAAAGUUUCGGCGGUUGGGGAUGGACUCGCGGCUUAUCAGCUUGUUGGUGGGGUAGUGGCUUACCAAGGCUUUGACGGGUAGCCGGCCUGGGAGGGUGACCGGCCACAUUGGGACUGAGAUACGGCCCAGACUCCUACGGGAGGCAGCAGUGGGGAAUAUUGCACAAUGGGCGGAAGCCUGAUGCAGCAACGCCGGGUGCGGAAUGACGGCCUUCGGGUUGUAAACCGCUUUCGCCUGGGACGAAGCGUGAGUGACGGUAAUGGGUAAAGAAGCACCGGCUAACUACGUG
rnacentral:rRNA from 1 species